CCCCUCUCAGGAUCUCACCUGGAGGGUUUCCAGUACUCUACCAAUCUUGAAUAUGGAAGGAAUAUUCAGGCAGGACAUACCCAUUCCAUUCCUAGCUUGGGCAGUAGCUAGUGGGUGGAAAGCAAUCUGCUACAAGU